UGUCUCAAAGAUUAAGCCAUGCAUGUCUAAGUAUAAGCAAUCUAUACCGUGAAACUGCGAAUGGCUCAUUAAAUCAGUUAUCGUUUAUUUGAUAGUACCUUACUACUUGGAUAACCGUGGUAAUUCUAGAGCUAAUACAUGCUAAAAACCUCGACUUCGGGAGGGGUGUAUUUAUUAGAUAAAAAACCAAUGCCCUCCGGGGCUCCUUGGUGAUUCAUAAUAACUUAACGAAUCGCAUGGCCUUGUGCCGGCGAUGGUUCAUUCAAAUUUCUGCCCUAUCAACUUUCGAUGGUAGGAUAGUGGCCUACCAUGGUUUCAACGGGUAACGGGGAAUUAGGUUAGUUUGGACACUGCUUUCUGGUUGAUUACUUUUUACUAAUUCGAUUUAUAGGGUUCUAUUCCGGAGAGGGAGCCUGAGAAACGGCUACCACAUCCAAGGAAGGCAGCAGGCGCGCAAAUUACCCAAUCCCGACUCGGGGAGGUAGUGACAAUAAAUACUGAUACAGGGCUCUUUUGGGUCUUGUAAUUGGAAUGAGUACAAUUUAAAUCCCUUAACGAGGAACAAUUGGAGGGCAAGUCUGGUGCCUCUCCAGCGCACCCGAGAGCCACGGCUCUCGCUGCUGACGCCAGAGAGAGAGAGGCGCUCAGCCUCCUAGUCGACUAUGCAUAGAAGCUUUGGGUGCAUAGCGGCGAGACAACCUGGAUCGGAGGAGGCUCACCGAGCUGACCCCGAGCNNNAAAGGUGUCGGCUACCCACUGUCGGGUGGUUUAAGGGACGUGCCGUUUCACCAGCAAAGUGUGCCAGCCCUUUCGGAGCUCCCCAAAGAGCGAAGAGGGCCCGGGCGCCGCCUCGGGUGGUGCAACUGAUCCAACGGCCAGCAGCCGCGGUAAUUCCAGCUCCAAUAGCGUAUAUUAAAGUUGUUGCAGUUAAAAAGCUCGUAGUUGAACCUUGGGCCUGGCUGGCCGGUCCGCCUCACCGCGUGCACUGGUCCGGCCGGGCCUUUCCUUCUGGGGAGCCGCAUGCCCUUCACUGGGUGUGUCGGGGAACCAGGACUUUUACUUUGAAAAAAUUAGAGUGUUCAAAGCAGGCCUAUGCUCGGAUACAUUAGCAUGGAAUAAUAAAACAGGACGAGCAGUUCUAUUUUGUUGGUUUCUAGGACCGCCGUAAUGAUUAAUAGGGAUAGUCGGGGGCAUCAAUAUUCAAUUGUCAGAGGUGAAAUUCUUGGAUUUAUUGAAGAUUAACUACUGCGAAAGCAUUUGCCAAGGAUGUUUUCAUUAAUCAGUGAACGAAAGUUAGGGGAUCGAAGACGAUUAGGGCUAAUAUCUGGUCGUCAACAAUAAAAGAGCCUAAGAGCUUCCUUCUAUUACGCUACAAACACACGCCUUGAUCGGAAAAUUAGGGUGUAGCGAACACCAUCAAACUGCAGGGACCCCCUAAAGACGCCUACUACGACGCGCCAGCUUGAAAGAGUGGUGUGCCCAGAGCGGAUAACUCUGGGGCGUAAAAAUGUAGCGUAUGAUGUCCCUAGGACUGAAAUGGGCAACCCGCAGCCAAGCCCUACGGUGUCGUUGGACGCUAUGGGUGCAGUUCACAGACUAAACGUUGGUGGGAGGGUAACCUUCUAAGAUAUAGUCGAGGCCUGGGUUAGAGCCUGGGGAGUGCUGCAGAUACCGUCGUAGUCUUAACCAUAAACUAUGCCGACUAGGGAUCGGGCGAUGUUAUUUUUUUUGACUCGCUCGGCACCUUACGAGAAAUCAAAGUCUUUGGGUUCUGGGGGAG
rnacentral:rRNA from 1 species